AGUGAACGCUGGCGGUAGGCCUAACACAUGCAAGUCGAACGGCAGCACAGUAAGAGCUUGCUCUUACGGGUGGCGAGUGGCGGACGGGUGAGGAAUACAUCGGAAUCUACUUUUUCGUGGGGGAUAACGUAGGGAAACUUACGCUAAUACCGCAUACGACCUACGGGUGAAAGCAGGGGAUCUUCGGACCUUGCGCGAUUGAAUGAGCCGAUGUCGGAUUAGCUAGUUGGCGGGGUAAAGGCCCACCAAGGCGACGAUCCGUAGCUGGCCUGAGAGGAUGAUCAGCCACACUGGAACUGAGACACGGUCCAGACUCCUACGGGAGGCAGCAGUGGGGAAUAUUGGACAAGGGGCGCAAGCCUGAUCCAGCCAUACCGCGUGGGUGAAGAAGGCCUGCGGGUUGUAAAGCCCUUUUGUUGGGAAAGAAAAGCAGCAGGUUAAUACCCCGCUGUUCUGACGGUACCCAAAGAAUAAGCACCGGCUAACUUCGU
rnacentral:rRNA from 1 species